UAACAACACAAGCAUCUGAUGAUGGAAUCAUGAGGGAGGAUAGGGAGGACAGUUCCAGCACUAGAGGGAAAGUUCAAAGGAUGUGGGAGAUAUCCUAUUGUGGUCCUACACAGAUUCAAGCCGCGCCAAUCAUGAAGACAAAACAUAGAAGGAGUUUAAUUCGGUUCGGACUCGAUUUGGACUCUCUAGACGGACAUGGAGUAAAAAUAGCAUAACUCCUCUAUAUAAAGUCGGAUCGGGAUGAGUAAAUACUCGUUGGAAAGAUUAUUUCAUAACCUUUCCAACGGAUCCAUCCCUAUUUUCAUAUUCGUUCUGAG
rnacentral:lncRNA from 1 species